GAUGAACGCUGACAGAAUGCUUAACACAUCAGCAAUUGAUUGGAGGCGGACGGGUGAGUAACGCGUAAAGAACUUGCCUCACAGCUAGGGACAACAUUUGGAAACGAAUGCUAAUACCUAAUACUGUGAGAGAGCUUUGCGUCCCAUUAGCUAGUUGUAGAGGUAACGGCUCACAAAGGCGAUGAUGGGUAGCCGGCCUUAGCGGGUGAUCGGACACAAGGGGACUGAGACACGGCCCUUAGUCCUACGGGAGGCAGCAGUGGGGAAUAUUGGAAAAUGGACCAAAGUCUGAUCCAGCAAUUCUGUGUUCACGAUGAAGUUGUCGGAAUGUAAAGUGCUUUCAGUUGGGAAGCGGUACCAACAGAAGAAGUGACGGCUAAAUACGUGCCAGCAGCCGCGGUAAUUC
rnacentral:rRNA from 1 species